rnacentral:rRNA from 1 species
AUGACAUGCAAUCCAAAAUGGGAAGAGAUAACUAAUGAGUUGCUGCCUGGUCAGACGGCGCAAGACCGACCUGAUAUUGUGGCUCGCGUGUUCUACGACAAACUAGAGGCUAUGAAAGACAUGUUGUUCAAGAAGCAGAUCCUGGGUGUUGUUGUCGCUUAUGUGUACGUAGUCGAGUUCCAAAAAAGGGGCCUUCCCCACGCAUAUUUUUUGUUGAUCAUGGACUCAGCAUAUAAGCUUAUCAUCCCAGAGCAGUAUGACCGACUCAUAUCAGUAGAGCUCACAGACAAGCAUAAGUAUCCCGAAUUGUAUGAAAUGGUGGUAAAACAUAUGAUGCACGGACCAUGCGGUCCUCUCAAGCCAAAGAAUGUUUGCAUGCAAGAAAACGGAUGGAAGUGCAGAUACCCGCGGCCGUUCAAUGAAAACACAGCAUGUGUUGCAGUUGCCUCUUCAUCUCCCGAAUAUGCACAAGGUUGCAUUCAAUGCGUAGGUUGA